CCCAAGGGACUCUGCAAGCUAGUCAUGUGACAUACUUCUGACCAAUGAGAGGCCAGCAGAAGUCUUUGUGAGAGGCUGCCAGGAUUUACCGGUUCCAGUCUCUUUUGCUUUCUGUUUUCUCUUUCUUCCUGUCUGGAAUGUAGCUGUAGUGCCUGAAAGGGCUGCGGCUAUUUUGCAAACCUGGGGUGGAAGUUACCUGUUUCUGAUGGCAGAGAGGUGCUAGAAGGUGCCAGGGUCCGUGCAAGUCCGAAUCAUCAUGCCAGCCUUCUCCGGAUUCUGGCCACUACCGGGAGCGGAUUCCCUGAGGUCCGCCUAAUGUUUGGUUGUGGAUCUCUGCAUCUGUUUCCAUCUGUUGCUGGAUGAAGCCUCUCUGAUGACAGUUGGGCUAGGCACCAAUCUGUCAGAGAGAGGCCGUUUCUAAUCCAUUAUCUCACCCCAGAUGUUCACAUUUCCUUCUAAAGUAUCAUGGAGGAGUGGCCAUGGGAAGACCCAGCUAUGGAAGCAGUUGUGAGAUACCUGGCCAUGAUUUGGGGAUACAACAUGGCCUCAAAUCCUAAGAGAUUAUGUGGUUUCUUUCACAGCCAGGAGCCAGAGGCGCCACACAUCAAAAGGUGGUUUUGAAGGGGCUGCCCCCAUCACUCCUAAUGACCUCCAGUGACAUUUUGUGUGUCCACCCUGCAACUUUGGGUUUCCCUGGUUUUGAAGUCCUGGUUCUCAUGGAAUUCACAGAAGAAGAAAUGCACAUGGUCACAGCUGCUCCUUGGCAUGACUGUGCCUCAACCCCAGACUUCCUGUCUAUCAUGGCAGAAGGAGAAUUCCUUGGCUUGAGGUGGAAGAAAUCACAGCAGGUUCUUCCAUGCCCUGGACUAGACAAGCCAUCGUCAGGGCGUCUGACAAGACUGUGUCUGCCUGGAAGGAGCGGGCCCUGACCCAGCCUAUGGGCCUGUGUGUGUUGGCAAAGGUUCACAAAGAUGUUGGACUCUGGUCCUGCAUAUUGAAAACAUUUUUCAGUGGAGCCCAGGUAUUUGACUGGAAAAAUGAUAAUAUUCCCUCUCGGGAUGUCAAACAUCCGGAUAAAUAGAAGUCUUUUUCCAUCUUCCCUCUGGCCCGAGGGUUACAAAGGACUCAUAGACACAGGCCUUUGGAACUGGCUAGCUCAGCCAGCGCAAGUACCAACCUGUACCACAGAGAGUGACUAUUUUUAAAAAGAGAGGGAAGUAUGUCGCCCAGGUUUGCUCAGAGAGCCUGGCUCCCUCAGGAGAGGAUGCGGGGCCUGCCUACCUUUCAGAUGGAUGCCUCUGAGUGGUGUCAGGGCAGCCACUGUGACACUUAAGGCUCAUAUCGCCAAGUGCUGCAUAGCAGGAGGCUGGGGCCAGCCUGGAAGGGAGAAGUUAGCCCACCCAGGACUGGGGCUAUGAGAAGGUGGGGGCAGGAAUUGGGCAGAAGGUGCUGUAGGCAUUAACUGAAGAGCUGUUUUUAUUUUCAAUGAACUGGAACCCAAGGAUGCUCAAGCUACAGGGAGCCUGUUGGUUAAAUAAAGACUUAAUGCAGACAUGCCCUCCCACACACACAAAAUCCUCCUGCAAACAGUGUGAUGGGCCUGCUGGACAAGCUUUUGGGAGGAAGCCACAGAGAGGGAAUGACCCCACAUCUUCCUCAAGUUUCACAAGGAGUCAUGACAACCUUCCCAGAUCUUGGGCUUCUUUGAGAGCCAUCUUACACUGUCGAGCCAGUGGCCUCUAGGAUGGACUCUGAUUCCCCAACUCUGCUUGUCUCCAUGUCACUGGAAGCCACUGCCUGGUGUGUGGGCACUGAAGCCCCUGGGGCCAAUACAAACACUUUAUUUAACUCCUUGCCUUUGGCUCCAGUAGGACACCAUGCCCUGUCACAUUUGGUGUGAGAUCUUAAUUCUUUAAGAAGUACUUCCUUGGGCUGGAGAGAUGAAGAGCACUGGCUGCUCUUCCAGAGGUCCUGAGUUCAAUUCCCAGCAACCACAUGGUGGCUCACAGUCAUCUGUAAUGAGAUCUGGUGCCCUCUUCUGGCCUGCAGGCAUAUAUGGAGGCAGAAU
rnacentral:lncRNA from 1 species